rnacentral:rRNA from 1 species
UACGUAGGAUCCAAGCGUUGUCCGGAUUUAUUGGGCGUAAAGGGCGCGUAGGCGGACUGGUUAGUCAGAUGUGAAAUCUCACUGCUCAACAGUGAAACUGCCUUUGAUACUGCAGGUCUUGAAUCCAGAAGAGAGUUGUGGAAUUCCGAGUGUAGCAGUGAAAUGUGUAGAUAUUCGGAAGAACACCAGCGGCGAAGGCAGCAACUUGGUCUGGUAUUGACGCUCAGGCACGAAAGCAUGGGGAUCAAACAGG